UACGUGGGGGGCCAGCGUUGUCCGGAUUCAUUGGGCGUAAAGCGCGUGUAGGCGGCCAGGUAGGUCCGAUGUGAAAUCUGGAGGCUCAACCUCCAGCGGUCAUUGGAAACCAUCUGGCUAGAGUCCGGAAGAGGAGAGUGGAAUUCCUGGUGUAGCGGUGAAAUGCGCAGAUAUCAGGAAGAACACCAAUGGCGAAGGCAGCUCUCUGGGACGGUACUGACGCUGAGACGCGAAAGCGUGGGGAGCGAACAGG
rnacentral:rRNA from 1 species